rnacentral:rRNA from 1 species
CCAAUAGCGUAUAUUAAAGUUGUUGCAGUUAAAAAGCUCGUAGUUGAACUUCGGGGUCUACCCAUUGGUCAGGCUUAAUUGUCUGCACUGGUGAGAUGGAUCUCUACCUUCUGAGGAACUUUCAUGCCAUUUAUUUGGUGUGAUUGGAAAUCAGGACUGUUACUUUGAAAAAAUUAGAGUGUUUAAAGCAGACUAUCGUC